GGGGCUAUAGCUCAGCUGGGAGAGCGUCAGCGUGGCACGUUGAAGGUCGUCGGUUCGAUCCCGACUAGCUCCACCA
rnacentral:tRNA from 1 species